rnacentral:rRNA from 1 species
AACGAACGCUGGCGGCGUGCCUAAUACAUGCAAGUCGAGCGCAGUGGGGACGGGUGAGUAACAAGUGGGUAACCUCCCAUCAGACGGGAUAACACUUGGAAACAGGUGCUAAACCGAUACUGAUGGAUGGACACGCGGUGCAUUAGCUACGUGGUGAGGUAACGGCUCACCCAGGCCACGAUGCAUAGCCGACCUGAGAGGGUGAUCGGCCACACUGGGACUGAGACACGGCCCAGACUCCUACGGGAGGCAGCAGUAGGGAAUCUUCGGCAAUGGACGAAAGCCUUAUCGAGCAACGCCGCGUGAGUGAAGAAGGUUUUCGGAUUGUAAAACUCUGUUGUUAGAGAGGCGGUAUCUAACAAGAAAGCACCGGCUAACUACGUGCCAGCAGCCGCGGUAAUUC